rnacentral:rRNA from 1 species
CUUGAUGAUGGCAGAGAGGUCACACCCGUUCCCAUACCGAACACGGAAGUUAAGCUCUCUAGCGCCGAUGGUAGUUGGGACCUUGUCCCUGUGAGAGUAGGACGUCGCCAAGC